rnacentral:lncRNA from 1 species
ACUUGUCUAUCAAUCCGAAACCUGCCACUACUUCUGCAAAAACUUCCAAGUGUUGCAGAGCAUUUUUCUAGCUACACCAUUAUUCUUGUAACACCCCCCUCACUACCGCACUAAAUUUGUAUUUGAAAAAUCCUUAUUUAUUUGGGCCUUAAGGCCACCUGAACUCAUUUAAAUUUAUUUUGCAACUUUACAUCAUAAUUCAUGAUUUAAAU